CUGCUGCCUUCCGUAGGAGUUUGGGCCGUGUCUCAGUACCAAUGUGGGGGGUUGACCUCUCAGUCCCCCUAUGUAUCGUCGCCUUGGUGAGCCGUUACCUCACCAACUAGCUAAUACAACGCAUGUCCAUCUCUGACCACCUGAGUUUUCAACCACCGAAGAUGCCUCCGGUGAUGUUAUGGGGUAUUAGUACCAAUUUCUCGAUGUUAUCCCCCUGUCAAAGGUAGGUUACAUACGCGUUACGCACCGUCCGCCGGUCGCCGG
rnacentral:rRNA from 1 species